CAAGCAAGCUGAACAGCCGCCUGCGCGCCGUAAGGGCGUGUGGGAGGAAAGUCCGGGCUUCGCAGAGCAGGAUAGCGGCUAACGGCCGCCGAGGGUGACCUCAGGACAAGUGCAACAGAGAUAUACCGCCUGCCUUUGGCAGGUAAGGGUGGAAAGGCGGGGUAAGAGCCCACCGGUGACGCGGGAGACCGCGCCACCCUGUAAACUCUAUCCGAAGCAACAUCAAGUGAAGACGCAUGGGCUUGCUCGGCCCGUCUUCCAAAAGGGUGGCUUGAGGGCUGCGGCAACGUAUGCUCCAGACAGAUGGCUGUUUUUAACAGAACCCGGCUUACAGGCCCGCAGGCAGC
rnacentral:RNase_P_RNA from 2 species